rnacentral:rRNA from 1 species
UACGUAGGGUCCAAGCGCUGUCCGGAUUUAUUGGGCGUAAAGAGCUCGUAGGCGGUUCGGUAAGUCGGAUGUGAAAACUCAGGGCUCAACCCGGAGACGCCAUCCGAUACUGCUGUGACUUGAGUCUGGUAGGGGAACACGGAAUACCUGGUGUAGCGGUGAAAUGCGCAGAUAUCAGGUGGAACACCGAUGGCGAAGGCAGUGUUCUGGGCCAGUACUGACGCUGAGGAGCGAAAGCGUGGGGAGCAAACAGG